rnacentral:lncRNA from 1 species
CUAGGGCUCUUCUGGCUUCUGACAUUGUAUGGCAUCUUUCCGAACUCUCCUAACCGUCUGGGCUUCCAUAAUACCAUCCGAACUCCUCCAAUCAUGAGCUUCUCCAUUCACCUAUCGGGCUGCUCCAAAUGCUCUCUGAACUUCACUUUCAGCCAAUUCUUCUACAGUGGUCGACUCUUCUCCGAAUCCCUUCUAGACUUCUCCCAGCC